rnacentral:rRNA from 1 species
CUGCAGUUUGCAGACGUGCUUACCUUCGGCUCCGGCAGCGGCGGCCUCGUCCCGCGCACCUCCUCUGACACGGCGGCCUUCGCGGGCGGGCGCAUCGACUGGAAGGAGACCCCCGAGGCGCACGUGUUCAAGGCCGACGUGCCGGGGCUGAGGAAGGAGGAGGUGAAGGUGGAGGUGGAGGACGGCAACGUGCUCUGGAUCAGCGGCGAGCAGAGCAAGGAGCAGGAGGAGAAGACGGACACCUGGCACCGCGUCGAGCGCAGCAGCGGCAGGUUCCGGCUCCCGGACGACGCCAGGGUGGAGCAGGUCAGGGCGUCCAUGGAGAACGGCGUGCUCACCGUCACCGUGCCCAAGAAGCCCGAGGUCAAGUCCAUCCAGAUCUGCUGCUCCGUCCAUGGGAAAUUAUUUCAUCGAGUCCGGCCGUGUGUGUAG